GCUUUCGUGGUGUAGUGAUCAGCACGCUCGACGCGUAACCGAGAGGUCCGUGGUUCGAUUCCUGGCGAAGGCG
rnacentral:tRNA from 1 species